GCUGUGAUGCCCGAGAGGCUAAGGCAUUGGACUUGAAAUCUAAUGGGAUUUUCCCGCGCAGGUUCGAGUCCUGCUCACAGCG